rnacentral:rRNA from 1 species
CGCAGCCUACGGGGGGCAGCAGUGGGGAAUAUUGCACAAUGGGGGAAACCCUGAUGCAGCGACGCCGCGUGAGUGAAGAAGUAUUUCGGUAUGUAAACCUCUAUCAGCAGGGAAGAAGAAAGACGGUACCUGACUAAGAAGCCCCGGCUAACUACGUGCCAGCAGCCGCGGUAAUACGUAGGGAGCGAGCGUUGUCCGGAUUUACUGGGUGUAACGGGUGCGUAGGCGGGGAAGCAAGUCAGAAGUGAAAUCCAUGGGCUU